CUAGAUAUUACUUCACUGUACCGACUAGUAAAUUUAGGCUGCCAUCUAGCGGAAGUAAAUGUUACUAUAUCUUACCGAUUAGUAGAAUAUGUUUCGCCAUCUAGACAAAAGAUAAAACAUCACUAGGAUAAAAUCAAGAUGGCUACCUGUCAAUGUACUUUGAAUACCAUAAAUACAGGCUAUGUGCAGUUGAUCGCCAAUUCUGGAUGAAAAUAAUUAAACUGGAUAAAGUGCUGUGGGACAGUGUUAUGUUAUAACCUAAGAAAAAUGAUUUUCUUAAUUAAAUCCGAGAAUGCAGAUGAAUUCCAGACGUUCUUUUUAUUAAAUUAUUAUAACAAAUACUAAUCAGCAUGCAGAUCUAUAUUUUAAAUUCCAAUCCAAGAACGUCAUACCCAAGAGAAGAAGAGUACAUUACACCAUUGGAUCAAUGGAUAUAUAUUUCAUUUUCUUACGACUAACGAUUAGAAGAUUUGCAUUGAUUAUGUAAUCCGAAAAAGAGUUUUAUUCUAUAAUAUUAUGUAAAUAGAAUGCAGCUGCAGUAACAAAGAAUAAUCAAGACAAGAAUGUGUCAAAAGGGGAGUUAAAUAAUUUGAAUAGAAGUGUCUACUCAUUAUUAUCAAAAUUGAUAAGAAGAAUAAAACAAUACUACAACUAUGAAAGAUUGUUUAAUGCACUGUUCUUAUCAUACUUGCACUGCGAGAAAACCAUAUGUAGUAAUAUUUUAUCAAAAGAAUACCAGAACACAUGUAUCUUAGUUAUCACAAAAUAAGAAAACAAGUGGCAAAUACAUUAUGUAAGGUAACUCUAUUA